rnacentral:misc_RNA from 1 species
GAUGAGACUUUACAAACAUAUGUUCACUAUUAAUCACUGUGUGCUUCCAUUUUCAGUUAAUCUUCUCCACACCAUUUUCCCACAAUGCAAUAAGGUCAAUAGUGCCAUGAGAUAAAGAAGAGGAAUCCCAACAAUGCAACCCCCAUAUGCUAAAUUGGCCAGUGUCACCAAUCCUGCAACAAGAUGAACUAUGGGGACAAAAAAUUGGUCUAUUCUGUUCCCUUCUGCAUACCCAUUAAAUGCGAUGACCAUUGAGAAAGUGUGAAUUGUAACGAAUGCAAGCGCAAUAAUAGCAGAAACAAGAAAAAAUGGAAUCUGUGAACAACUAUCAACAAAGAAUGUCGCUGGGCCAAAUGCUGGUGUUAAAAGGCUAAGACAGAAAAACACAGCAUGGGCUACACCAUGACCUAAACCACCAGCUAAAGCAAUCAGCAUCUUAUCUGUCAGAAAUAAGCGUGGUUUGGAGACCCUAUCAGCAAAAGCAUCCAAUAUGUCUUCCAACCGCUUGUAAACUUUCCAAAAAAGAAUCCGAAGCCCUUCCUGGAAACUUACUGAUGAAACUAUAAGUAAUGCGUAUGGCCACCAUACUGUUG